rnacentral:rRNA from 1 species
UACGAAGGGGGCUAGCGUUGCUCGGAAUCACUGGGCGUAAAGGGUGCGUAGGCGGGUCUUUAAGUCAGGGGUGAAAUCCUGGAGCUCAACUCCAGAACUGCCUUUGAUACUGAGGAUCUUGAGUUCGGGAGAGGUGAGUGGAACUGCGAGUGUAGAGGUGAAAUUCGUAGAUAUUCGGAAGAACACCAGCGGCGAAGGCGACUCACUGGACACGUAUUGACGCUGAGGUGCGAAAGCGUGGGGAGCAAACAGG